rnacentral:lncRNA from 1 species
UGGCACAUCAAACUACUUUACCACAUAUUUCCUCUUUAAAACCACUCAUAUUGUACAUGCUGUGAUAAGUUACCAUUUCGCCCAACUGUGCAAAGAGACGCAUCUGCUCUACUGACCAACAAGAUGGCAGAUAUCUAUGAGAAUAAUGAUUUUCAUCAUGUGGGGGAUCAGAAACAAUUUAAGGCUGGGAAAACACCAGAGCCAUCAGGGCAUCAGUGGUGUGAUGAAGAUGAUGAGAGUGAUGCAGACUAUGAAAACAUUGAACACACCCUAGAAAUGAAGGAGACCAGCCAAACCCCAGAGAGGAGAAGGCAGGACAACUCAGAGAAAGGAACAGAAGAGCUGAAAUCUAGCACAACUGCUGCUUUUUCCAUCAUUCUGCUGUAUGUCCUGCUGUUGAUGGUCACUCUGGGUUGGGUAGGCUUCAUCACAGUGGUCUUCAUAAAGUAUUCUGCACUGACAGAAGAGAUUCAGCACCUCCGAAUGAGUCACAUCACCUUGAAGGAGAACAGUAAGAUCAGGGUUACAAGCAUGAUUCCUGUCUGUAGGACCCAUUAUUUCUGUAAUUACAUUACAUUACAUUUUAUUAUCAAG